ACGGUCCCUCUGUGGUACUGCGGAGCCGGGGCUGGAGGCGGCGCGGCGGGGGCCGGAGCGGGCCGAACCGCCGCGCCCGCUCCAUGGAGGCCGCGGCCGAAGCCCCGGGGGGGUCGGCGGAGCUCAGUUGCUUCUCCUACAACCAGGACUGCACCUCCCUGGCAAUUGGAACCACAACUGGAUACAGGCUUUUCUCCUUAAGUUCCGUGGAGCAACUGGACCAGGUCCAUGAAAGCAAUGAAAUCCCAGAUGUUUACAUCGUGGAGCGUCUGUUCUCCAGCAGCCUUGUGGUUGUGGUCAGUCAUGCCAAGCCUCAGCAAAUGAAUGUCUACCACUUCAAGAAAGGGACAGAGAUCUGCAACUAUAGCUAUUCCAGUAAAAUCCUGUCCAUCCGGCUGAAUCGUCAGAGGCUGAUUGUUUGCCUGGAGGAGUCAAUUUACAUCCAUAACAUCAAGGACAUGAAGCUUUUGAAGACUAUCCUGGAUACGCCCCCAAAUACAACAGGUCUGUGCGCUCUCUCGAUCAACCACGCCAACUCCUACUUGGCUUAUCCCGGCAGUGCAACCAGCGGAGAGAUCGCACUUUACGACGGAAAUACUUUGAAAACAGCCUGCACAAUUGCUGCCCACGAUGGGCCUCUGGCUGCCCUAACCUUCAACUCCACUGGGUCAAAGCUGGCAAGUGCUUCUGAAAAAGGCACGGUCAUUCGUGUAUUUUCCAUUCCUGGUGGGCAAAAGCUCUAUGAAUUCCGUCGAGGGAUGAAAAGGUAUGUGAAUAUCAGCUCUCUGGUGUUCAGCAUGGAUUCCCAGUUCCUGUGUGCUUCGAGUAACACAGAGACAGUGCACAUCUUUAAACUGGAGCAUCUCACUGACAGCCGGCCAGAAGAGCCACCAACCUGGAGUGGGUACAUGGGAAAGAUGUUCCAGGCUGCCACCAACUACCUCCCUGCCCAGGUGUCGGGCAUGAUGAACCAAGAUCGAGCCUUUGCCACUGUCCGCCUUAACAUCUCUGGACAAAGGAACAUCUGUGCCCUCUCCACGAUUCAGAAGCUGCCUCGACUGCUGGUGACUACAUCUGAUGGACAUCUCUAUAUCUACAACUUGGACCCGCAAGAUGGAGGAGAGUGUGUCUUAAUUCAGAAACACAGUCUACUUGGCUCAGGAAAAAUGGAGGAGAACAAAGAAAAUGACCUUCAGCCUCCAUUACCUCAAUCUUAUGCAGCAACUGUAGCCAGACAAAGUACAGUGCCUUCAACUUCGACCAUGCCAGGUUAUUCGGAGGAUGGUGGUGCCCUGCGAGGAGAGGUUAUCCCAGAGCACGAGUUUGCAACUGGACCAGUGUGUCUUGAUGACGAGAAUGAGUUUCCUCCUUGUGCAACAAAAAGACAUUUAAAAACCUCAAAACUUGUGACAAAAUGGAAUAUUUACCCACAGCCCACGAGGACGGCUUUGAACUCAGACGUACUUGUGGAGGAACAGCAGCGCUGAGACCCAGCGGAUCCUCUCCGUUUUGAAAUGCUUUGCCUUCCCCUGACCUCGAGUUCUGAAGGUACUUGGGCAUUACUGAGAUGGACAGCAGGCUGGAGGAGAAGGUGAGGAGAAGAUGUUGUGCUUCAGAUGGGCUCAAGGAAGCAGCACUGCGCCUGAACUUCACAAUUGGACGGCGCCGUGGGAAGAAGCAGCCCAGCUCUGGCUGUGAGCAGUUGGGAAGGUCCCUGCCAUUCUCACCAAGCAGUUGCCAUCUCUCUGCAGAUAAUCUUGUGCCGUGGAGGUCAGCCGGGCAAAGCGAAGAGGUCAUGAUGAGAAGCAAACAUCCGUGUGUAGGACAGCUGCUGGGAAGUGCUUCGGAGCAGCCAGGAAUCUCCAAGAACAGAUCUGUGAGUCUUCAAGAAGACUAAAAAGUCCAAGGUGGGCCACUGCUUUUAACUAGAGUACAUAUAAGUGAAUGGCUCGCCCUGCUCACCCCUCGUUUUAAUCCCUGCCUGGGUGGGGUGUCCGUGUACUGUAGGCACAUUGCUAUAUUUAACAAACUCUAUGUUAGAACCACAUUGUAAAUGCUAAUUUAAUCAGAUCUGUAUGUAACCAGAAUUUUAUAUACCUGUUUUACCCGUUUCUAAUUUAUGCUGUUUUAUGUGUAUAAAUGUACUUAUAGGAAGAUAUAUUAAACUUAUGUCUUUGUACAGUACACACUAUUUUACCCAAGCAAAGUAUUUUUGCAGUGACACGAGAGAAGAUGUGAUUUGCUACGGUUAAAGACAGAAUAAAGUCACAGUCCGUCCCUUGCA